AGAGUUUGAUCCUGGCUCAGGAUGAACGCUAGCUACAGGCUUAACACAUGCAAGUCGAGGGGAAACGGACAUCGAAAGCUUGCUUUUGAUGGGCGUCGACCGGCGCACGGGUGAGUAACGCGGUAUCCAACCUGCCCACCACUUGGGGAUAACCUUGCGAAAGUAAGACUAAUACCCAAUGACGUCUCUAGAAGACAUCUAGAAAGAGAAGUUAAAGAAUUUAUCGGUGAUGGAGUAGGGGAGUGGCGUCUGAUUAGCUUGUUGGG
rnacentral:rRNA from 1 species